GACGAACGCUGGCGGCGUGCUUAACACAUGCAAGUCGAACGGAAAGGCCCUGCUUUUGUGGGAUGCUCGAGUGGCGAACGGGUGAGUAACACGUGAGUAACCUGCCCUUGACUUUGGGAUAACUUCAGGAAACUGGGGCUAAUACCGGAUAGGAGCUCCUGCUGCAUGGUGGGGUUUGGAAAGUUUCGGCGGUUGGGGAUGGACUCGCGGCUUAUCAGCUUGUUGGUGGGGUAGUGGCUUACCAAGGCUUUGACGGGUAGCCGGCCUGAGAGGGUGACCGGCCACAUUGGGACUGAGAUACGGCCCAGACUCCUACGGGAGGCAGAAGUGGGGAAUAUUGCACAAUGGGCGGAAGCCUGAUGCAGCAACGCCGCGUGCGGGAUGACGGCCUUCGGGUUGUAACCCGCUUUCGCCUGUGACGAAGCGUGAGUGACGGUAAUGGGUAAAGAAGCACCGGCUAACUACGUG
rnacentral:rRNA from 1 species